rnacentral:rRNA from 1 species
CCUACUGGUGGCAGCAGUGGGGAAUAUUGGACAAUGGGGGCAACCCUGAUCCAGCCAUGCCGCGUGUGUGAAGAAGGCCCUCGGGUUGUAAAGCACUUUCAGUGAGGAAGAACGCCUGGUGGUUAAUACCCAUCAGGAAAGACAUCACUCACAGAAGAAGCACCGGCUAACUCCGUGCCAGCAGCCGCGGUAAUACGGAGGGUGCGAGCGUUAAUCGGAAUUACUGGGCGUAAAGCGCGCGUAGGUGGCUUGAUAAGCCGGUUGUGAAAGCCACGGGCUCAACCUGGGAACGGCAUCCGGAACUGUCAAGCUAGAGUGCAGGAGAGGAAGGUAGAAUUCCCGGUGUAGCGGUGAAAUGCGUAGAGAUCGGGAGGAAUACCAGUGGCGAAGGCGGCCUUCUGGACUGACACUGACACUGAGGUGCGAAAGCGUGGGUAGCAAACAGGAUUAGAUACCCCUGUAGUC